rnacentral:rRNA from 1 species
AUUGAACGCUGGCGGCAGGCCUAACACAUGCAAGUCGAGCGGAUGAAGGGAGCUUGCUCCUGGAUUCAGCGGCGGACGGGUGAGUAAUGCCUAGGAAUCUGCCUCGUAGUGGGGGAUAACGUCCUGAAACGGGCGCUAAUACCGCAUACGUCCUGCUGGAGAAGGUGGGGGAUCUUCGGACCUCACGCUAUCAGAUGAGCCUAGGUCGGAUUAGCUAGUUGGUGGGGUAAAGGCCUACCAAGGCGACGAUCCGUAACUGGUCUGAGAGGAUGAUCAGUCACACUGGAACGGAGACACGGUCCAGACGCCUAAGGGAGGCAGCAGUGGGGAAUAUUGGACAAUGGGCGAAAGCCUGAUCCAGCCAGGCCGCGUGUGUGAAGAAGGUCUUCGGAUUGUAAAGCACUUUAAGUUGGGAGGAAGGGCAGUAAGUUAAUACCUUGCUGUUUUGACGUUACCAACAGAAUAAGCACCGGCUAACUUCGUG